rnacentral:rRNA from 1 species
UACGAAGGGGGCUAGCGUUGUUCGGAAUUACUGGGCGUAAAGCGCGUGUAGGCGGGUCUUUAAGUCAGGGGUGAAAUGCCAAGGCUCAACCUUGGAACUGCCUUUGAUACUGGCGAUCUUGAGUCCGGGAGAGGUGAGUGGAACUGCGAGUGUAGAGGUGAAAUUCGUAGAUAUUCGCAAGAACACCAGUGGCGAAGGCGGCUCACUGGCCCGGUAACUGACGCUGAGGUGCGAAGACGUG